rnacentral:rRNA from 1 species
UACGGAGGGUGCAAGCGUUAUCCGGAUUCACUGGGUUUAAAGGGUGCGUAGGCGGACAGGUAAGUCAGUGGUGUAAUCUCUGGGCUUAACUCAGAAACUGCCGUUGAUACUAUUUGUCUUGAAUAUCUUGGAGGUAAGCGGAAUAUGUCAUGUAGCGGUGAAAUGCUUAGAUAUGACAUAGAACACCGAUAGCGAAGGCAGCUUACUACAGGAAGAUUGACGCUGAGGCACGAAAGCGUGGGGAGCAAACAGG